CCUACGGGGGGCAGCAGUGGGGAAUAUUGGACAAUGGGGGCAACCCCGAUCCAGCCAUGCCGCGUGUGUGAAGAAGGCCCUCGGGUUGUAAAGCACUUUCAGUGAGGAAGAACGCCUGGUGGUUAAUACCCAUCAGGAAAGACAUCACUCACAGAAGAAGCACCGGCUAACUCCGUGCCAGCAGCCGCGGUAAUACGGAGGGUGCGAGCGUUAAUCGGAAUUACUGGGCGUAAAGCGCGCGUAGGUGGCUUGAUAAGCCGGUUGUGAAAGCCCCGGGCUCAACCUGGGAACGGCAUCCGGAACUGUCAAGCUAGAGUGCAGGAGAGGAAGGUAGAAUUCCCGGUGUAGCGGUGAAAUGCGUAGAGAUCGGGAGGAAUACCAGUGGCGAAGGCGGCCUUCUGGACUGACACUGACACUGAGGUGCGAAAGCGUGGGUAACAAACAGGAUUAGAUACCCCAGUAGUC
rnacentral:rRNA from 1 species